rnacentral:rRNA from 1 species
GACGAACGCUGGCGGCGUGCUUAACACAUGCAAGUCGAACGGUAAGGCCCUUCGGGGUACACGAGUGGCGAACGGGUGAGUAACACGUGGGUGAUCUGCCCUGCACUUCGGGAUAAGCCUGGGCAACUGGGUCUAAUACCGGAUAGGACCACUGCCUGCAUGGGUGGCGGUGGAAAGCUUUUGCGGUGUGGGAUGGGCCCGCGGCCUAUCAGCUUGUCGGUGGGGUGAUGGCCUACCAAGGCGACGACGGGUAGCCGGCCUGAGAGGGUGACCGGCGACGCUGCGACUGAGAGACGGCCCAGACUCAUACGGGAGGAAGCAGUGGGGAAUAGUGCACAAGGGGCGCAAGGCUGAUGCAGCGGCGCCGCGUGAGGGAUGACGGCCUACGGGUUGUAAACCUCUUACAGCACCGACGAGGCGCAAGUGACGGUAGGUGCAGAAGAAGGACCGGCCAACUACGUGCCAGCCGCCGCCGUAA